AUCAAUUUAUGAAUGGUACGUUGUUUGGUGUUCAGCAAAAGGUUUUAUUGAAAGAAAAAAGUCUGUGGGAAGUCACUGUUGAAUCACUUAGAUACCUGACAGAGAAAGGACUCCUGCAAAAAGACUCUAUUCAUAAGUCUGAAGAAGAGGCCCAGUGUAGUUUUCAUAUUACAAAGUUGGGACGAGCUUCUUUUAAGGGAACUAUAGAUUUAGCUUAUUGUAACGUUCUCUACAAAGACUUAGAGAAAGGUCUGGAAGGACUUGUGCUUGAGAGCCUUUUUCACCUAAUCUACCUGACAACCCCCUAUGAUCUGGUUUCUCAGUGUGAACCUAAUUGGAUGAUAUACUUCUGGCAGGUGAGAAGAUUUUUCAACUUAGGAUACUUAAUUUACUAAUGAUGGUUUGAUCUUUGUCAAGUGAUUAUUCAUUUUUUUGUCCUCCAUUAAAAUAUAUUUUUAAUUGGGUCUUCUUGACCAGCCUUAAAAAAUAAUAAUAAUAAUUG
rnacentral:lncRNA from 1 species